GCGGCGGACAGAGUGGACAGACACGAGACGGAUCGGCUCCGGAAUGAGUGGCCGUCGCGACUUAUUUAAUUGGAAACAGAUGUAAGUGCGCAGAAAUAACAACGAAAAAAGAAGAGAAGAGCGGGAGGAGCCAAGGAGGCGGCCAGGUGUAACAGAUAAAGUCAAUCUUGUAAACAUAUACGCUGUUGUGUAAAAAAAGGGUUUAAAUGGAAAAACCCGAGAGGAGGAUGAGGAGGCCUAAGAGAGAAAUCAGACAGACAUAUACGCUGUUGUGUGAAAAAAAGGGUUUAGAUGGAAGAACCCGAGAGGAGGAAGAAGCGGCCUAGGAGAGGCGUCAGGCGCCGGCAAAACAUCAUUGUGGAGAUAACGGCGCCCAAAGUGUCGCAUCGAGGGAGCUGACAACCCGAGAGGACAGCCUGAGAGGAGGAGGAGGCCUGGGAGAGGCAUUAGGCGCCAGCGGAACAACUUUGCGAAUCAACGUAGCUACGUGGCAGAUAUAAUUCCGCUGUUGCGCAUCGGGGUCGGGUGGCGAGGAAGAACUACGAGAAGGGCCUAUCCGUGGCGUUUUCCGAAAAUUGUCGCUAGCAUGCGAUGCCAUGCCCGCUUCACACAUGGCAUGCGACAGAUUUGUCCCGCGCGAGGAAGACUAAAAGGAUCUGUAACAAGUCUUGUUAAGACGACCGCAGCUAGAAGAUUAUUCUCGGAAGAGCUUUUUGCAAAAGUGACGGCUGCAUAAUUAAUCGAAUAAUAUGCAAAUUUCUCCUCUAUAUAAUAAGUGUCGGACUAUUAAUCAAAUUCCGGAUUACCAGUUUCCAUCGCAAAAUGAUGAAGAAAAACGCGAAUAAUUACAGGAUUAUUAAUUGCAUAAUGUUACGCACUCGAAAAGCAUAUUAAUAUUCCGAGCUUAUGCCAUCAUGCGAUUAAUGACUCUAAUAGGCAGAACAAAUAUUAAUAAAAUAAUGUAGGGGUAGCUUCGCACCUCAAGAUUUUAAA